rnacentral:rRNA from 1 species
UACGUAGGGUGCGAGCGUUAAUCGGAAUUACUGGGCGUAAAGGGUGCGCAGGCGGUCUCGUAAGCUGGGUGUGAAAGCUCCGGGCUUAACCUGGGAAUGGCAUUCAGGACUGCGAGGCUUUGAGUGUGGCAGAGGGAGGUGGAAUUCCACGUGUAGCAGUGAAAUGCGUAGAGAUGUGGAGGAACACCGAUGGCGAAGGCAGCCUCCUGGGCCAGCACUGACGCUCAUGCACGAAAGCGUGGGGAGCAAACAGG